UACGUAGGGGGCAAGCGUUGUCCGGAAUUAUUGGGCGUAAAGAGCUCGUAGGCGGUUUGUCGCGUCUGCUGUGAAAACUCAGGGCUUAACCCUGAGCCUGCAGUGGGUACGGGCAGACUAGAGUGUGGUAGGGGAGAAUGGAAUUCCGUGGUGUAGCGGUGAAAUGCGCAGAUAUCAGGAGGAACACCGGUAGGCGAAGGCGGGUCUCUGGGCAACUGACUGACGCUGGAGGAGCGAAAGCGUGGGGAGCGAACAGG
rnacentral:rRNA from 1 species